rnacentral:ncRNA from 1 species
UGGAAUAGGACCUUGGUUCUAUUUUGUUGGGUUUCGGAGCGCGAGGUAAUGAUUAAGAGGGACAGACGGGGGCAUUUGUACUGUGUCGUUAGAGGUAAAUUCUUAGAUCGGCGCAAGACGAACGACUGCGAAAGCAUUUGCCAAGGAUGUUUUCUGU